rnacentral:lncRNA from 1 species
UUCGACUCCUAGCUUGGGAACCUCUAUAUGCCACAGGUGCAGCCCUAAAAAAGACAGAAGACUGAAAAAAAAAAAAAGAGAGAGCAUUCAAAGAAAAAAGAUUUAUAUUUUUAAAAAUCUCAACCUCCUCAGAAAAGUUGGAUUAGGUGAUGGGAGGGAAGAGUCUAAGCUGGAACACUAAGGCAUCCACCACCCCCUGCCUGCUACCAGCUUCCCAGGGAAACAUCCCUGCACCAGAAAACUCCCACCUUUCCUGGAAGCAAGUCCAUUCACCAUUCCAUUGGCUGCCUCCCAGUGGCACGAAAUGAGAAAGGCUCUGGGAGGAAUUUCCCCAGAAGAUAAGGCUGUCAGGAAGUCUUCCCUGGGUAAGUGGCCAACAGAGGCCACAGGAGACCCGCGUUUGGCUUUAAAUCUAGUUGAUGGUGCUCGCAGUGACUCUCAAACGUAACGUCCCUCCUAUUAACACUGUACCUGUUCUAGCAGUCACACAUAUUGGGUCACCUGUUUCUCCAGCUGCCCAGAUAAAUGUAGAGAAAGAAAGACAGGGCUGUGUUUGUGCAUUAAAGGAGAAUGCCAUGAAAGAGAUGCCGAUCUUGGCCCCAGGCCACCUCUUCUGGCAUCUCCUUCCUUUCCAGAGUGGGACAGUCCCCUCUGUCUUUCCAUCUCUCUCUCUUCCUCUUCUUCUAAGGCCACCUCUCCUAUCAAAUUAGGGCCCCGUCCUUAUCACCUCAUUUACCUUCUGAAAGUUCCAUUUCCAAAUACAGUCCCUUUAGGGGUUAGGGCUUCAACAUGAAUUUGCGGGGACACAAUUCAAUCUAUAGAACAAUGCAAAUUUAAGUGUUAUUUUUAAUAUAUGACACAGGCAAGACUAUAUAGCCCUUAUUGGUAUAGAAGUGUGGACUUAGAGCUACAUUUAAAAAUAAUUAGAUACAUAAAUAGGAGGAGGUACUGGUAUUGAGGAGUUAAAAAUCUAUUUGGGAAAACAUACAAAAAUCUGAAAGUUUGUAAAACAAAAGAUUAAAGGACAAUUUCAGAUACAUGUUACCCCCACUAUCCAAAAGGAGAGCUUUCCCCUGAAACCUUUUGUAAGCAGAAACAGCUUAAAGCAAACUGCACCUACCUUAAAAUACAUCAGGCUAAAGAUGCACAAAAUAAAUGGAGAUAAAGCACAGAUGCUCACAGUCAGUUCAAAUCUGUGUCAACUUGACACUGAGAUGUUGAGUGUGGUUCCAAGGUGGUGGGGGAGAGGGGUCGGAGAUUGGCCCUGCUACUGUCCCUGCUCUGGGUGCACGCUGUCUUGAUCAAGGCACGCUGCGAAACAAAUGCUGAGUGUUUUUAGCACUUUUCGCUUUUUGUCAAAGCAAACAUCCUCUUCAGAUUUCUUUCUGUUAGCAAAUCCAGGUACUCAUGUAGGUCUUUCAUAAAAGCAAAGUAGUGUAAAGCGAGCUUUUGAAAAGCAGGGGGAAUACCUAUGUAUGCAGAGUAAAUGCCACAGUGCACUCUAGCUUAAGGGUGAAGUAACAGUUGUUUUCACAAUAUGAUAAAGUAUAAGCUACUGUGCAUCUCCCCAUCUAGUCACUCUCCCCUAUACAUUGGGAGCCGAUAGAGAAUGCUGGGAACAUAUGUGAUCAUCUAUCUGCCUUUGCCUAGAUAAUGGGCUACCUGGCCAUUCAUCUAGGGCUGAGGUCUCAUUUAUGCAUGUAUUCAGAGAGCUAUCCCUAAUUUAGAAAACCUUUAUAUUUUGAAAUAAUUUUGGGACUUAAGAGUUGCAGAGAUAGUACAGAGAAUUUCCUGCAUCCUUCCUCCAGCUUCCGCUAAUGUUAAUAGCUUACACAGCUACGGCACACCUAACAAAAUUAAGACAUCAGCAUCGGUACAGCACCGUUCAGCAAGCCAGAGACGUUAUUUGGACUUUCUCAGUUUUCCACUGAUGUCUCCUUUCUGUUUCAGGAUUCAAUCCGUGACACCGAAUUGUUUUUAAUUAUCACGUCUCCUCAGGCUCCGAAUCUGUGACAGUUCUUCAUGCUUUCUUGUCCUUCACAGUCUUGGUAUGUUUGAGGAAUACUAGGCAGGCAUUUCAUAAAAUGUCCCUCAAUGUGGACUUGUCAGAUGUUUUCUCAUGCUUCGACUGGGGUUAUGGACUUGGGGGAAGACUAUCGCAGAGGUAAUAUGGCUUUUUUAUAGCAUCCCAUCAGAGAGUAUGUGAUAUCAAUAAGUCUGACUACUAGUGAUGGUAACUUGAUUAAAGUUGUACCUGCCAGGUUUCUCCACUAUAAAUGCUGCUGUCUUUCCCUUUUCCUAGCUAUAUGUGGUGGGUGAGGUGUUAAGUCCAGCCCGCAUUCAGUGAGAGGGGAAUUCAGCUAAUCUCCUCGAGAGAGGAGUAUCAAAGAAUUUGUGGACCUGUGUUUAAAAUGCCACAGUAAUUAAUAAGUAUUUGGUGGGGUGGGAGGAAGAUACUUUGAGGCUAUGCAAAUAUCCUGUUUCUCCCUAUAUUUUGCCCGCUGAUUCUAGCAUCUCUCAGUGGAUCUUGCCUGUGGCACUUAUGGCAAUGUUCUAUUAAAAGUAAUAUAAAACAGUAGAAAAUAAGUGUUUUAUAUUUCCCUUAGUCCUCCCUCAUUUUAUUAGAAUUCUUCUAUAGGAAAGAGUUCUUUGCCAUAAUUUAUUUAUUAUUCAAUGACUUAUUUAUACCUCUAUGGCUUCAUGGGGUUUUGUUUUGUUGCUCAGAUUGUUGUAGCUUUGGCCGUUGGAAGUUCUUUCAGUUUGGAUCCUCUACUUUUGACUUUUUAAAAAGCGCUUUCUUGGAGUUCCCAUCAUGGCUCAGUGGUUAACAAAUCCGACUAGGAACCAUGAGGUUGCAGGUUAGAUCCCUGGCCUCUCUCAGUGGGUUAAGGAUCCGGUGUUGCCGUGAUCUGUGGUAUAGGUUGCAGAUGCAGCUCAGAUCCUGUGUUGCUGUGGCUCUGGCUUAGGCCAGUGGCUACAGCUCCGAUUAGACCCCUAGCCUGGGAACCUCCAUAUGCUGUGGGAGCAGCCCUGGAGAAGGCAAAAAGACAAAAAAAAAA